rnacentral:rRNA from 1 species
CCCUUAGAUGUUCUGGGCCGCACGCGCGCUACACUGAUUCAUGCAACAAGUUUUGUCCUUGGCUGAUAGGCCUGGGUAAUCUUUGAACGUGAAUCGUGAUGGGGAUAGAUGAUUGCAAUUAUUCAUCUUCAACGAGGAAUUCCUAGUAAACGCAAGUCAUCAGCUUGCAUUGAUUACGUCCCUGCCCUUUGUACACACCGCCCGUCGCACCUACCGAUUGAAUGGUCCGGUGAAGCCUCCGGAUUGGCGCGCACCUCGGUGCCGCCGAGAAGUUGGCUAAACCUUACCAUUUAGAGGAAGGUGAANUCGUAACA